rnacentral:rRNA from 1 species
GACGAACGCUGGCGGCGUGCUUAACACAUGCAAGUCGAACGGAAAGGCCCUGCUUUUGUGGGGUGCUCGAGUGGCGAACGGGUGAGUAACACGUGAGUAACCUGCCCUUGACUUUGGGAUAACUUCAGGAAACUGGGGCUAAUACCGGAUAGGAGCUCCUGCUGCAUGGUGGGGGCUGGAAAGUUUCGGCGGUUGGGGAUGGACUCGCGGCUUAUCAGCUUGUUGGUGGGGUAGUGGCUUACCAAGGCUUUGACGGGUAGCCGGCCUGAGAGGGUGACCGGCCGCAUUGGGACUGAGAUACGGCCCAGACUCCUACGGGAGGCAGCAGUGGGGAAUAUUGCACAAUGGGCGGAAGCCUGAUGCAGCAACGCCGCGUGCGGGAUGACGGCCUUCGGGUUGUAAACCGCUUUCGCCUGUGACGAAGCGUGAGUGACGGUAAUGGGUAAAGAAGCACCGGCUAACUACGUG